UAGUCCACGCCGUAAACGAUGUCUACUAGAAGCUCGGAACCUCGGUUCUGUUUUUCAAAGCUAACGCACUAAGCACACCGCCUGGGGAGUACGGUCGCAAGAUUAAAACUCAAAGGAAUUGACGGGGACCCGCACAAGCGGUGGAGCAUGUUCUUUAAUUCGACGCAACGCGAAGAACCUUACCUACACUUGACAUCCUGAUCGCGGUUACUAGAGAUAGUUUCCUUCAGUUCGGCUGGAUCAGUGACAGGUGCUGCACGGCUGUCGUCAGUUCGUGUCGUGAGAUGUUUGGUUAAGUCCAGCAACGAGCGCAACCCCUAUCGUAUGUUACCAGCAUUUAGUUGGGGACUCAUGCGAGACUGCCGGUGUUAAGCCGGAGG
rnacentral:rRNA from 1 species